GGAGAAGAAUGGCAGUGAAAGGAAAAGAAUAACAGACAAGAGAGUGGGAAAGACUGAAAGACCUUUAAGAAGUCCAGUUUCUCUGCAAGUUUUGAAGUGUUCUGGCUGCUUCACAUCAUUAUUUGGAAUAAUCUAUCAGCUGACACUUAUUUUGAUCUCAUCCAUAUGAAAACAAAAAUACCUCAGGCACCUGCCUUGCCCAAGUUACCACUGUUUCUUUUUUAGGCUCUUUAAUUUUUCCUCUCAUUCUUCCACUUCUUGCUUAAUCUUUUAAAGGUAAUCUAUUCCAGUUUGCUAUCCAGUUUGACCUACAGGAAGAGCCUGCUGCUGUGGUGCCCCAGUAUGGGAUACAGUAAUGUCAACAUGUUCUUUUAAUGGACAAAAUGUUCCCUACCACAUCUGAAUGCUGAUAUGUUAUUUAAAGCAGAAUAGCCCAGAUGAAAAGCUGCUUAGAGAAGCUGUACAAAAGAUCUGUUUGGCCAAACAAACCCAGAUCCCUCAGCCUAUCUUCAUAGGAGAGGUUAUCCAGCCCUCAGAGUAUCUUUGCAGCCAUCCUCUUGACCCUCUUCAAAAUCUUCUCAUCUUUCCUGUACUGGGGUCUCAGGCUUGGGCGCAGUACUCCAGCUAGUAUCUCAUGAAGGCAGAAGAGAGGGGGGCAAUAAUCUCCCUGUCCCUGUUGACCAUCCCUCUUCUGAUGGAACCCAGGAUACCAUUGGCCUUCUGGGCUACAAGUGCACACUGCUGGCUCACAUUCAGUUUUUCAUCAUCCAGACCCCUACGUCUUUCUUAGCAGGGCUACUCUCAAGCAGUUCUCCUGGAAAUUUGAAUCAAUUAUUGUCUGUAGACAAGUGUCACAGCCCAUAUUGACUUCAGCUUUUGACAUGGUGACUCUGACUAUAUGAGUGAGCUCUCUGAAAUGCCUUAACUGAUUGAGAAGUCAUCUUGCCUUACCAAAUGAGUUCAUUAUUCGUUAUGUUUGCUACUAAACUAAACACAGGUGCAAUAGUAAGAUUUAAGAACUGAGUGCAACAUAUUAGAAAUAGCUGGUUAAUUAUAAUCAGCUACCAAUCUACAUGAAGAUAUUCCCUAGGCGACUACAUAUGAAAAUGUGCAGUGCUUUCAAUGCAUACCCAG
rnacentral:lncRNA from 1 species